GACGUAGGGUGCAAGCGUUGUCCGGAUUUAUUGGGCGUAAAGAGCUCGUAGGCGGCUUGUUGCGUCGACUGUGAAAACCCGCGGCUUAACCGCGGGCUUGCAGUUGAUACGGGCAGGCUAGAGUUCGGUAGGGGAGACUGGAAUUCCUGGUGUAGCGGUGAAAUGCGCAGAUAUCAGGAGGAACACCGGUGGCGAAGGCGGGUCUCUGGGCCGAUACUGACGCUAAGGAGCGAAAGCGUGGGGAGCGAACAGG
rnacentral:rRNA from 1 species